GGCGAACGCUGGCGGCAGGCCUAACACAUGCAAGUCGAACGGAUCCUUCGGGAUUAGUGGCGCACGGGUGCGUAACGUGUGGGAAUCUGCCCUUGGGUACGGAAUAACUCAGAGAAAUUUGUGCUAAUACCGUAUAAUGUCUUCGGACCAAAGAUUUAUCGCCCAAGGAUGAGCCCGCGUAAGAUUAGCUAGUUGGUGGG
rnacentral:rRNA from 1 species